AUCGAACGCUGGCGGCAGGCCUAACACAUGCAAGUCGAGCGGCAGCGGAAAGUAGCUUGCUACUUUGCCGGCGAGCGGCGGACGGGUGAGUAAUGUCUGGGAAACUGCCUGAUGGAGGGGGAUAACUACUGGAAACGGUAGCUAAUACCGCAUAACGUCGCAAGACCAAAGAGGGGGACCUUCGGGCCUCUUGCCCUCAGAUGUGCCCAGAUGGGAUUAGCUAGUAGGUGGGGUAACGGCUCACCUAGGCGACGAUCCCUAGCUGGUCUGGGAGGAUGACCAGCCAAACUGGAACUGAGACACGGUCCAGACUCCUACGGGAGGCAGCAGUGGGGAAUAUUGCACAAUGGGCGCAAGCCUGAUGCAGCCAUGCCGCGUGUAUGAAGAAGGCCUUCGGGUUGUAAAGUACUUUCAGCGGGGAGGAAGGUGCUGAGGUUAAUAACCUCAGCAAUUGACGUUACCCGCAGAAGAAGCACCGGCUAACUCUGUGCCAGCCGCCGCGGUAACAC
rnacentral:rRNA from 1 species